rnacentral:rRNA from 1 species
UACGUAGGGUGCGAGCGUUGUCCGGAAUUAUUGGGCGUAAAGAGCUUGUAGGCGGUUUGUCGCGUCUGCUGUGAAAACUGGAGGCUCAACCUCCAGCCUGCAGUGGGUACGGGCAGGCUAGAGUUCGGUAGGGGAGACUGGAAUUCCUGGUGUAGCGGUGAAAUGCGGCAGAUAUCAGGAGGAACACCGGUGGCGAAGGCGGGGUCUCUGGGCCGAUACUGACGCUGAGGAGCGAAAGCGUGGGGAGCGAACAGG